UUCAGAGGACGGAUCCAACAUUCAAAUGGUCUUGGGUCUGCAUCUUAGCUCGGCCACUGGAUAGCUGUACAACUACGGAGUCUUGCUCUGUUGCCCAGGCUGGAGUGCAGUGGCGCGAUCUCGACUCACUACAACUUCCGCCUCCCGGAUUCAAGCGAUUCUCCUGCCUUAGCCUCCCGAGCAGCUGGAACUACAGGCACGUGCCACCACGCCCAGCUAAUUUUUUUGUAUUUUUAGUAGAGACGGGGUUUCACCAUGUUAGCCAGGAUGGUCUCAAUUGUUCUGGAGUCUUUCUCUAAUACACUACAUACAAUCCAUAGGCAAAUUCUGUUGGCGUCACCUUCGAAAUCUACCCCAAAUCUUACUAUUUUUACAGCACUUCAACCACCAGUACCUUAUCAAAAACCACUUCUAUAUUUCUUGUAAAUUAUUGGAACAGCCCUUUACCUGGUCUUCCUGUUUCUGCCUUUUGCAUCCCUUCUUCCUUCCUCUCCUCCACACAUACCACUAAAAUCGCAGCAUUGCAACUACAGUAAUAAAUACAUCACUUCUCUGCACAAAAGCUUCUGGUGGCUUCCCCCCUCACUCAGGAAGUCUUUAUAGUACUCCAGAAGAUCACUUUCUGGCCUUCCCUGUUGGGCUCAUUUUCUAUUUCUACCUUGCCCACUCUGUUGCAGCCACACUGUCCUCCCUGCUGAUUCGUGAACACACUGACCAUGCUCUUGCUUCAAGAACACUUACAUUGCUGUUCCCUCUGCCAGGACAGUUCCUCUAGUAUCCACUCACCUCAUUCAGUUUCUGCACAAAUGUCACUUUUACAAUAAAGUCAUCCCUAAAGAACUAAUUUAAAAUUGUACCCUACUAAAUAGAAAUCCCCUUACCUCACUUAGAACACUCUAAAAGUGCUCUAAAGGACUAAAUUAGCAAUUUAGCCCUUUAGUACCCCACUGAUUAGCAAUCCCCUUACCCCACUUAGAGAGUGCUCUACUAGUACUUUAGGUAGUACCAUCUAAACAGUGAUGCCACUGUCAGACUAAAAAUCACCAUCAUAGGUAGAUACAUUAAUUUAAAUCAGAUAAACGUAAUCAUCUAAUUUGAACAUUAUAUUUCAUCUACAAUAUCCACUUAUUCAACAGGUAUUUAUUGACCAUGCUGUACAAUUUUCUAGGUGCAGAAGAUACAUCACUUAACAAAGAAGAUCACUACACUUGGUUACUUGGAGUUUAUAUUUGAAUUGGUAAAAUAUAUGGCAGAAACUGAAAGUGCUGAGAAGGACCAAAUUAGUAAUGAGUAAUUUAGCCCUUUAGUGCCCUACUGAUUAGCAAUCCUCUUACCCCACUUAUAGAGUGCUCUUCUAGUACUUUAGAUAGCAGCAUCUAAACAGUAGCAUCUAAACCCCUUGGGAUUGCUAAUUACCCUACUUUAGGAGGUAAUUACAUGAGGAUGGUGAAGCCUUUAUGGAAGGAAUUAGGGUCCUUAUAAAAGCACUUGAGGCAGUGGGUCCACUCUCUUUUGCUCUUCCACCAUGUGAGGACACAGCAUUCAAAGCACCACCUUGGAAGCAGAGAUAAGGCUCUCACCAGACACCAAACCUGCCUGCCCCUUGAUUUUGGACAUCCAGCCUUCAGAACUGUGAGAAGUACAUUUCUAUUAUUUAUGAAUUACCCAGUCUGGUAUUUUAUUAUAGCAGCAUAAAGAGACUGUGAUAGAAGGUAUGAAUUUUUGUUCUAAACGAGGACUGGGGGUGGUAGGAACUUGAAAACAACGCUAAUAUAACAAAUCAAUUAGAUUGCUUCUAGCUAUUUUAUUUUUCUUUCAUUAAUUAGUAAUUCCAAUCCAGUUCUGGGUGUGAAGUUCUACAGGUAAAACAUGUUCCUUUUAGAUAUUUUCCUCUGAAAAGAAUUGGGGAAAUAUUGCAAAGGAAAAGGAAAAGGGAAAGGAGUGAUUCUGACAUUUAUGAAUUUGUGAUAUUAUGUACUGAAAUUAUGACCUGAUUGUAUAUUUCUCCCUAGUCUGCAUAUAGGGAGGUUAUUCAGCCCUUCCACCUUCUGCCAUGGGAUGGCACAGCAAGAAGGCCCUCAUCAGAUACAGGCCCUUCAGCCUUGGUUUUCCAGUCAUUAGAACUCAAAGUCACACAUCUUCAUUCGUCUCUCUACCAGAUGAUAUUAAAAGAUAUUUUAUUAGGAAAGAAGCAAAUACGAAUGAAUUCAAACAUCAUAUCAGCAUUGCCAUCUAUAUUUUCACUCCUGAGAAGUUUGAAAAUUAAAAAAAAAAAAAAAGAUCAUCAAGAAUAAGGGAUGAACCACAAAAAGAAAGAAAGGCUGGAAAAAGGUUUUACAGAUUUUUAAGAAAUAUAACUCAUUUGCCUGAGCAUUCUUUCAACAUCCUCAUUUUAAGGUUACUUCUAAAAAGAAGAAAUGAUUUUUAAUAUUUCCUUCAUCUGGAGAAAUAACUGUCGCUGUUCGGUAUUCACAGACUUCCUGCUGAGGACUGCUAUCGCAAUAAACUCUGGUCUCACGAUAGGCAGCCAUGAUGAGAAACGGCCCCUGCAUAGAGAUGGUUUGAACUGUGUGGCUCCCUCCUGCCCCAUAUAACCAUCGCGAGAAGAAUGUAACAGCGGCCCUCCAUUAGUGAACCUUUUACCGUGAUUCCCGAGUCAUAACCCCGACCCACCUUGAAAUCUACUGCUGGCAUUUUCUCGUCAUUGGUUUGACACAUGAAUUAGCAGUUUAAGACUUUGCCUCCCUACUAACACCAACAUCUUAUUUGUAUGGCUCUGGCACUAGUUCCUGCCUCCUUGUCCUCUAACUCUAAUCCCAGUUAUCACCCUUAAUUCAGUAUGCUCUUGGAUCUCUGGUUAAAUCUCUUAGAACUUUCCAUUCAAAAUAACAUACUUUAUACUUCAGAGCCACCCUUAGGUUUGGUACUUCUACUAUGUCCAUGAAUUGAAUUUUUGCAUCUGUUUCUCUAUAUAUGUAUUUUUCAUUUAAAAUAUUUGUUCUUAAGUCGUAUAAUUUACCUGGUGAAAGACCAUACAACAGUACUUGCAUGUAGUCUCCCUAUAACUGAUGAACGUGCAUGUUUCUUUUCUCCGAUAAAUUUUAUGUCAAUUUUACUACAUUAUUGAAAUUCCCCCAGCGUAAUGUGAUAAAAUUUAUCAACUAGCUUUUAUACUGCUGUUUUAAAUGAAACAGAGUUGAAUUAAGGUCUAAUGCAUUCCCAUAAAAAUUGCCUAGGUUUGUUUUUGAAAUCUCAUUUUAUACAGGCAGCCGAGAUAUUCAAAGUUGGUUGUAUGGAUAAAAAUUUCACUCAAAAAAGUACUCAAAUCUAUCUCUGGUUUAUAGGACACGAUUUUAAAAUCUGGAUUUAAAUAUUAGAGGUUGGCUUUGUAGUUAGUUACUAGCUAGUGUUAAUAGCAUGGACAUAGAUAAAAUGUUACACCCACAUGAACAAAUCUCAUCCUUUGCUUUUGAUAGGCUUAGAAAAUGAUUGAAAUUAAUGUGACUGAACUAUUCUUUUUCCUAAAAUAAUUUUUGAGAAGUGUUUGAAAAAGGCUGUGAUAAUUUUUUAAUGUCUGGUUCAAAACUGAUCUCUUGCAGUAAGCCUUCCCAGAUAGUCUAUUAUUAAAGACCUCUAUUUUUAUAUUUUACUUUUUAUUUCCACUGUAUAAUGCUUUGCUUUCUUAUUAAUUGCUUUGGUAAUCUUUCUUAGCUGCUGUCAUGCUUACAAGCCCUCAGAGAAUUCUUCUUUCUUGGAUCAUGAAGAUAAGGAUCUCUCUGUCAGUGAUAUUAUUCUUUAGCCUGAACAAUUCAUUCUGUAUAAAGUAGGUAUUCAAUUAGGGAAGGGAUUAUGGGAAUAUAGGAUUAUGUUUUUAUUAGUCAAAAGGCAAGCUAUCCUGAGAAAGUUGCUGUCAAAAACCAUGAAAACAUAUUGUAAAAUUUUAUUUAUUACUUAUAAGUAAUAUUUUUAGAGGAGUGGGCUGGGGAAAAGAGUAAGUGAAUCUCAAACUACAUUUUAAAAUUUCUUUUCUGCUAAUUUAAAUAUUUUAGUUUCAUUUAAAGGUUUAGUAUUAUAAUUGAGAGCAGAAAAGGAAAUUAUGUUCAUUCAGAUUCUUUAGCCCAUGCACACAAUUAUCUUUCUUUAUAUAGUUAUAGAGAUUUUAAAUUGCCAAUUGGGGGUAUAAAAUAAACUCUUCAUAUUACCUACUAAAUCUCAUGAAUUAUAGCUACCUGCUUUUUACUUUUGCUUAAGUAAUGCAAGGCCCUUUCCCUUUUUACUUAUAUUGUUGACUCCUAUAAUAUAUAAUCUGCUAACUUUUCCUUUAUUUCCCCUUCAUUUCUCCAUUUCUUAAAAUAUGUGAUGUAGCCAAUUACCAGUUGAGGACAUACCUUUUCUAAAUGUAUAGGGUUCAUAUUUGAAGACAAUUAAAAAUCUUGGACAAUGUUUUUCUCUUGUUAAAAAGAGUAUUCCUGGGUUUUACUCCAAAUCUUUUUUAAAAAAUUCAAAUCUGGCACCAUUGCUAUAUUUAUCUCCUUUAUUUUACCUGAGCAAUGUGUGAUUCAAGAAGACUGACGAUUUUUUUAAUUAGAAAAUUGAUGUUGACACUAUUCCUUUCUGUUUGGUAGUUUUCCUUCUAACAGUCAGACUCCUCUGCUGCAGGUCUGCUGGAGUUUGCUGGAGGUCCACUCCAGACCCUGUUUGUCUGGGUAUCACCAGCAGAGGGUGCAGAACAGCAAAGACUGCUGCCUGUUCCUUCCUCUGGAAGCUUUGUCCCAGAGGGGCACCAGCCAUAUGCCAGCCAGAGCUCUCCUGUAUGAGGUGUCUGUCAGCCCCUACUGGGAGGUGUCUCCCAGUCAGGAUACACGGUGGGGCGGGGGGCGGGGUGAGCAGUGUCAGGGACCCACUUGAGGAGGCAGUCUGUCCCUUAUCAGAGCUCAAACACUAUGCUGGGAGAACCACUGCUCUCUUCAGAGCUGCUGAAGCUGUGUCCACAGCCGCCCCUUCCCCCAGGUGCUCUGUCCCAGGGAGAUGGGGGUUUUAUCUAUAAGUCCCGAACUGGGGCUGCUGCCUUUUUUUCAGAGAUGCCCUGCCCAGAGAGGAGGAAUCUAGAGAGGCAGUUUGAGUGGCCUUGCUGAGCUGCAGUGGGCUCCGCCCAGUUUGAACUUCCUGGGGGCUAUGUUUACACUGUGAGGGUGAAACUGCCUACUCAAGCCUCAGCAAUCGUGGAGGCCCCUCCUCCCACCAAGCUUGAGCGUCCCAGGUCAACCUCAGACUGCUCUACAGUAACCAAAACAGCACGGUACUGGUAACAAAACGGAUAUAUAGACCAAUGGAACAGAACAGAGGCCUCAGAAAUAACACCGCACACCUACAACCAUCUGAUCUUUGACAAAUCUGACAAAAACAAGCAAUGGGGAAAGGAUUUCCUAUUUAAUAAAUGAUGUGGGGAACACUGGCUAACCAUAUGCAGAAAGCUGAAACUGGAUCCCUUCCUUACACCUUAUACAAAAAUUAACUCAAGAUGGCUUAAAGACUUAAAUGUAAGACCUAAAACCAUAAAAACCCUAGAAGAAAACCUAGGCAAUACCAUUCAGGACACAGGCAUGGGCAAAGACUUCAUGACUGAAACACCAAAAGCAAUGGCAACAAAAGCCAAAAUUGACAAAUGGGAUCUAAUUAAACUAAAGAGCUUCUGCACAGCAAAAGAAACUAUUAUCAGAGUGAAAAGGCAACCUACAGAAUGGGAGAAAAUUUUUGCAGUCUAUCCAUCUGACAAAGGGCUAAUAUCCAGAACUACAAAGAACUUAAAUUGAUAAGAAAAAAACAAACAACCUCAUCAUAAAUUGGGCAAAGGAUAUGAAAAGACACUUCUCAAAAGAAGACAUUUAAGUGGCCAACAAACAUAUGAAAAAAAGCUCAUAAUCACUAGUCAUUAGAGAAAUGCAAAUCAAAACCACAAUGUGAUACCAUCUCACGCCAGUUAGAAUGGCAAUCAUUAAAAAGUCAGGAAACAACAGAUGCUGGAGAGGAUGUGGAGAAAUAGGAACACUUUUACACUGUUGGUGGGAAUGUAAAUUAGUUCAACCACUGUAGCAGACAGUGUGGCGAUUCCUCAAGGAUCUAGAACUAGAAAUACCAUUUGAUCCAGGAAUCCCAUUACUGGGUAUAUACCCAAAGGAUUAUAAAUCAUGCUGCUAUAAAGACACAUGCACACAUAUGUUUAUUGUGGCACUGUUCACAAUAGCAAAGACUUGGAACCAACCCAAAUGCCCACCAAUGAUAGGCUGGAUAAAGAAAGUGUGGCACAUAUACACCAUGGAAUACUAUGGAGCCAUAAAAAAGGAUGAGUUCAUGUCCUUUGCAGGGACAUGGAUGAAGCUGGAAACCAUCAUUCUCAGCAAACUAACAUAAGAACAGAAAACCAAACACCGCAUGUUCUCACUCAUAAGUGGGAGUUGAACAAUGAGAACACGUGGAUACAGUGAGGGGAAUAUCACAGGGAGGGAUAGCAUUAGGAGAAAUACCUAAUAUAGAUGACACGUUGAUGGGUGCAGCAAACCACCAUGGCAUGUGUAUACCUGUGUAAAAAACUUGCACAUUCUGCACCACUACCCCAGAACUUAAAGUAUAAUAAUAUAAUAAAAAUGAGAUCCAAGUAGAUAUGGCUUAGUUCAGUGCCAAAAAAAAAAAAGAAAGAAAAUUCUACAAAAUUCUGUUGCAUUAUAAACAAGUAUAGGCACUGUGUUAAGCUCUUUACAUAUUCAUGAUCACUCAAUCCUAUAGAAAAUAACCCUGAUUCCAAAAUCUGCUAUUGCUUUUGUAAUUACUAGGUUAAAUUUAUUUUGUAACCAUCAGACACGUUAUUUUCACACAAUAGUUAUUCCGUGGUUUGAUUUCUUCUUCAUAUUUUGUGGUUUGAUUUACUUCUUUUUAAAUAUUCUCCCUUUUACUUAUUUUUUAAUGUAGAUACAUCUUAUGAUCAACACCAUUUUUCUGCCUCAAGAAAAUCUUUCAACAUUUCUGGUAGGGCAGGUGUUAAAUUAUGUCCCCAACUGACAGACAAAAUGGACUCCCCGUGGCUAACUGAGUACUCAAAGUUAAAACAGAACCAGGCAACCAUGGCUGGGUGAAGGUGCAAUCACAUACUGUAUUCUUGAAAAAAUAUUUGCUAUGGUUUGGGUCUGUUUCCCCACCAUAUCUCAUGUCGAAUUAUAAUCCCCAGUGUUGGAGGUGGGGCCUGGUGGAAGGUGAUUGGAUCAUAGGGGUGAAGUUCCCAUGAAUGUUUUAGCACCAUUCCCCUUGGUACUGUCAUUAUGACAGUAAGUUCUCAUGAGAUCCAGUUGUUUAAAAGUGUGUGGCACCUCCCCCAUCGCUCUACUGUUCCUGCUCUUGCCAUAUAAGAUGUAUCUGCUCCCCCUUGGCCUUCCACCAUAAUUGUAAAUAUCCUGAGACCUCCUCAGAAGCCAAGCAGAUGCCAGCCUCAUGCUUCCUGUACAACCUACAGAACCGUGAGCCAAUUAAAUCUCGUUUCUUUAUAAGUUACCCAGUGUCAGUUAUUUCUUUAUAGUAGUGUGAGAACAAACUAAUAAAAUAUUGAAAAGGUAUCACAGGACCUCCCUUUCUGCAAUCAAGCCAAAUCAGCUCCUGUCAUUGGUACCAAGAUAGACUGCAGCUAGAAAUUCCUCACCUAACCACCCAUAGACUACCUGAAGCCAGCCAGGCACAAGCGAAGCAUGUAAUGUCUUGCUUAAAUGUCAUCCAAUUCAGACCCUGCACCUCAUUGCCUCCAAUCUUACAGUUUUUGCCUUUAUAAUAUUUUCUAAUCUUUUACCCCUGAACUCCUCCUCAGAGUGCACUUUCCUUUUGCACUUAAGGCUGUAUCUGCCCAAUCUGCAGACUUCUUUUAGAAAAUAAAGUUCUCCUAUUGCUUUUGCAGAUUUCAUUUGUCUUUUGUUAACAUGAGUCAGCUGGCAAUGAAGUUCUUCAACUUUUUGUUUCUCUAAGAAGGUCUUUCUUUCACUUUUAUAAGAUAAUUUUGCUAUAUAUUAAACUUUAGGUUAGUGGUUAUUUUUUUACAUUUUGAUACUUUAAGUAUCUUAUUCCACUUUCUUCUUGCUUUCAUGGUUUCUGGUAAGAAGUCUAUUUUACUUCUUUUAUUUAUUCCUCAGUAGGUCACGAUGCUUCUUUCUCUGGCUUCUGUUAAGAUUUUCACUUUGCCUUUGGUUUCUGUGAUUUGCAAAUGAUAUACUUAUGUGUAGUUUUUAGUAUUUUUUUCUGCUCAGUGGACUCUGAGUUUCCUAGAUUUGUGGCUUAGUGUCUGUCAUUAAUUCUGAAAUGUUCUUGGCCAUUAUCUCAUCUAUUAGCCAUUUUUACUUCAAGACUUAUAUUAUCAUUUCACAUAUUUUGCCCCAUUCUUUCUGCUGUUUCUAGCAUUCCAGUUAUGUAUACGUUACACCUGUCAAAUUUUCUUACAGUUCUAGGAUGCCCUGCUUUUUUAUUCAUUUUUACAGUUUGGGAAGUUCUAUUGACCUACCAUAUGCUCACUGAUUCUUUCUUCAGCUGUGUCUGCUGAUAAGCCCAUUAACAAAAGACAUUCUGUUACAUUAUUUGUGAUUUCUAGCUUUUUAAAAAAAAAAAACACCUCUGUGUUAGGUUUACCUCUCUCUGCCUAUAUUACCCAUCUGUUCUUGAAUGUUGUCCUCUUUUUCAUUAGGUUACUAAUUAGUCAUUUUAAAUCUCCUGAGAAUUCCAGCACCUGUGUCAUAACUGAGUCUGGUGGUGAUGCUUGCUUUGUCUCUUCAGACUGUGUUUUUUCCUUGCCUUAUGGCAUGCCUGGCAAUUUUUUGUUGAAAGCCAGACAUAAUUUAUCAGAUAAUAAGAACUGAGGUGAACAGGUCUCUUGUGUGAGGAUGUGAGUUAAUCUGGCUAGGAAUUGGUCUUUGCUUAAUGUUUGCUGUAGCUAUAGGUGUCAGAAGCUUCAAAUUCCUCCAGUGUCCUUGUUUUUGUCUGUCCCCUGACUUUGGGUUUCCUGAUGUACUCCUCCUUAAAGAGAGUCUGUAUCAUGCUGCUGUCUCAGCAAGAAUGCAGUAUUAGGACACUGCAGUCCUGUUGGUGUGGUGGUAAGGUGUUGGGAAGAGGAAUUGUUCAAUAAUCUCUCAUUUCAAUCUUCAUCUUUUAGUGGGCCUGUGACUUUCACAACUAUUUCUUCUUGUAUAGCUUCUCCACCUCUAGCCCAUUAGAUAAGACAGGAAAGCUAUGGGCAACUGGAGCAAGAAUGCCUUUCCCCCAUACCUCUGGGACAAGGCUCUGGUAAGGUCUUUCCCCGCUGGAGAGCAUUCUUUUGCUAUAGAAAAAGCCCUGGGCAUAUUUCACAAGGGGUACUUUUCUCCUCCACUGACAGAGCAUCCAGGGGAUCUUUCUCAAAUAUUCACAAUAAGAACCUGGUAGAGUUCCUGGAGGUAAAACCCACAAAAGUAUGGGGUUCCACUAAAACCACAGCUCUUAGGGUUUUCUCACUCUUACACUAAUCCACACUCAGCCUCUGGCAAAUCACCAAAAAUACUGUUCAAGUGCUCUUACAAGUUUGUGACACCAGUGGUUUCUGUUCCAGGGAAGCACAUCUCAGCUAUGACUCUAGAUCCUCCCGUCUUUUCAGAUGUCAAGAUGCCUCUUUUUCUUGCAACCUCAGUUCACUGAUGAAGCCAAUAAAACACAUUCAUUUUUACUUUGCCAAGCUUUUAUUUGUUGUUGUAAGAAUGGGGAUGAUGUCUCUCAAACCUUUUACUUGAAAGCCUUAUUGAUUUUUAGCAAUACACAUUUAUUCAAAAAUUGAUUAAUUUGCUCAGCAAACAAUUAUUGAGCAUCUAAUAUAUGCCAGGCACUGUAUGAAGUGUCCAUAGCCAUCAAGAGGAGCCAAUCAGGAUGUGUCUCUGCAGCCUCUUUCCACUGGUAAACCAGAUGCAGAUGUUUUGCGGUCCUAAUUAUUGAAGGAGUUCCAGGAUUCUCCAAAAUAAAAUCUAUCUUUUUUCCAUUUCAGCUGACACACUGUCAGAUGUGCAAAUUCCAUGCGGAGGUAUUUGUUUCCUUCUCCUGGUGUCAGGCUGUUGAGUGUGAUUUGUACUUCCUGCUGCUUUGCUUCAGGCAAAGGAGGAGGUGACAGCUUCAAGUUGAAUAAUUAGACUAAUUGCAGUACACACCCGAGGUUCUCAAGGAAAGUGCAAAUACAGAAAAUCAAUUUUAUAGUAUUAUUAUCCAAUUUUACAGUGUGUAAUAAUAUAUUUAUGAAGCAUCAUCUUCAAAAAUAGAAAUAAAGAUGAUGAAGAUAAACAAAAAUAAAACCAAAAUAGGCUCUAUGCCCAGAAAUCCAGAGCAAUAAACUAAGUACAGCAGGAAAACAUUGCCUAAAAGGAAGAGUUUUCAGAGACACAAAAAAGUGCUUUGAAAAUGCUUUCUUCCAGAUUGAAAGAGGAUUCAACAUCUUAGCUGUGUUAGGAAAAUACAAGUUUUCACACAAAGAGACCAUACAGAAUGUGUUUAUCAACUCUCUUAAUUUAGCAAUUAGGAAAUUAAUCAUCAGAAAUGAUAUCAUACUUGUGGGAGCUCAAAGUCUGAUUUAGAUCUCCAGUCUCCUGAAUGCCAGUUCAUGGUUUCAUCAACAGAGACAAGAACUUUAUCUAUGACUUUAUGUUCUUCAUUGAUUAGCUUUAUGCAUAAUUCAUUGACAGGAUUUAGACAAAAUAAACUAGAAAAAAUUGGAGACAUCAAUAGAAGAAAUUAGCAUAGAUUCAUGAGAGAGAUAAACAGGCUUCAGAAAGCUACUGAUAUAUAGGUACCUUGUUUUGUCAUUGUAUUUUACUAUAUCUGAAGUAAAAGCGAGUUUCAGAAAUUUUGUACAGAUAGUGGUCUCCAUUAAGUCAAAAUUUAAAAAAAAAAUUCUGAACAUUGAAAGAAAACAAUUUACAAAUGAAUAAAAAACUCUUUUCUCCCUACCACUUUUUUUUAAUGGAAUGAUUUGCAGUUUGAUGUGUAGAUUAUUAACAGACAUUGAUAAAUAGCUUUGACUCAAUUUGUGCUUUUGCUUCACUCCACAUAGCACUGCUCUGUCAGGUUUUGAAAACAUCAGAGACAGAAGCAUGAAGCAUGCCUGCCUCAACAACAUUGAAUUUAUGAAUUUAUAUCUAACAGUAUCACCGUUAUAAUCUGAGAUGGUUCAUUGUUUUAAACAUUAUUUCUCAUUUGGUCUUUAAGAAGAUUAUGAUUGUAUCUGUCCUUCUAAAGUGGCAAUUUAAAAUCCUUG
rnacentral:lncRNA from 1 species